AGCCAGCGUGGCACAGUGGCUUGUGUGUUAGACUAGGACUCAGAGAGACCAGGGUUAGAAUCCCCACUUAGCUA